rnacentral:rRNA from 1 species
GCCAAAAACCUAGCUCAACCUCAUGUAAAUGCCACAACCAAAUAACUGAAACCAAACAAAACAUUUUAAAUUUUUAGUAAAGGCGAUUGAAAAAUAUUUAGAAGCUAUAAUAUUAGUACCGCAAGGGAAAGGUGAAAUAAAAAUGAAAUAACUUUAAAGCAAAAUUAAGCAGAGAUUUAACCUCGUACCUUUUGCAUCAUGGUCUAGCUAGUCCAACCAAGCAAAACGCAAUUACAGUUUGACACCCCGAAACUAGGUGAGCUACUUCAAAACAGCCUUCAAGGGCCAACCCGUCUCUGUUGCAAAAGAGUGGGAAGAUUUUCAAGUAGAGGUGAUAGACCUACCGAACCUAGAGAUAGCUGGUUAUUCAGGAAAAGGAUUUAAGUCCUACCUUAAGUUUUUUUAUACUACAUAAUAUUAUUGCAAACUUAAGAGCUAUUCAAAUAAGGUACAGCCUANUUGAAACAGGAAACAACCUUAAAUAUAGGGUAAUGACACUUUUAAUGUGACCAAGUGGGCCUAAAAGCAGCCAACUUUAAAACAGCGUUAAAGCUUCAUCACUUUAUUUAACUAAUUUCUAUAAUUUUACAAAACCCUUUACCACUACUGAAUGACUCCAUAAUCCUAUGGAGAACACUAUGCUAGAACUAGUAACAAGAAGAAGACCUUCUCCAAAAUGUAAGUGUAGGCCAAAAUGAACACCUCACUGGCACUUAUCGUCUAUGAACCUAAAGUAGUAACCCACACAAGAAAAACCUACUUAUCUAAACGUUAACCUUACACCAGAACAUUACCGGAAAGAUUAAAAAAAGAGGAAGGAACUCGGCAAAUUUUAACCCCGCCUGUUUACCAAAAACAUCGCCUCCUGAAAUAACCAUAGGAGGUCCAGCCUGCCCAGUGACAAAGUUAAACGGCCGCGGUACCCUAACCGUGCGAAGGUAGCGCAAUCACUUGUUCUUUAAAUGAGGACUAGUAUGAAUGGCAUCACGAGGGUUAUACUGUCUCCCCCUUUUAAUCAGUGAAACUGAUCUUCCCGUGAAGAAGCGGGAAUAUAUCUAUAAGACGAGAAGACCCCAUGGAGCUUAAAACUCAGUAUCAGCUGCCCUCUAAUACAUCCUCUUAAUUAGGCAGACUUGACUACUAGUUUUCGGUUGGGGUGACCGCGGAGCAAAACAAAACCUCCACGAUGAAAGGAACUAAUUUCCUAAUCAAAGAACCACAUUUCUAUGAAUCAACAAAUUGACAUUUAUUGAUCCAAUUUUUUUGAUCAACGAACCAAGUUACCCUGGGGAUAACAGCGCAAUCCAUUUCAAGAGCCCCUAUCGACAAAUGGGUUUACGACCUCGAUGUUGGAUCAGGGUAUCCCAGUGGUGCAGCCGCUACUAAAGGUUCGUUUGUUCAAC